rnacentral:miRNA from 1 species
UUGGUGUGUGGGUGUGUGGGUGUGUGGGUGUGUGUGUACACACACACACACACACACACACACACAUAUA